rnacentral:miRNA from 14 species
CCCGGGAGCGGGGCACCACCAGGUUGCCUAAGGAGGGGUGAACCGGCCCAGGUCGGAAACGGAGCAGGUC